CGGCAAUGGAGGAAACUCUGACCGAGCAACGCCGCGUGAAUGACGAAGUACUUCGGUAUGUAAAGUUCUUUUAUCAAGGAAGAAAAGCAAAUGGCGAACCAUUUGUUUGCCGGUACUUGAUGAAUAAGCCCCGGCUAAUUAUGUGCCAGCAGCCGCGGUAAGACAUAAGGGGCAAGUGUUAUCCGGAAUUAUUGGGCGUAAAGGGUGCGUAGGCGGUCUAGUAAGUCAGUGGUGUAAUGGCAACGCUUAACGUUGUCCGGCUAUUGAAACUGCUAAACUUGAGUUAGAUAGAGGCGAGUGGAAUUCCAUGUGUAGCGGUAAAAUGCGUAAAUAUAUGGAGGAACACCAGAGGCGUAGGCGGCUCGCUUGGUCUUAACUGACGCUGAGGCACGAAAGCGUGGGGAGCAAACAGGAUUAGAUACCCUGGUAGUCCACGCCGUAAACGAUGAGUACUAAGUGUCGGGUUAAACCGGUACUGAAGUUAACACAUUAAGUACUCCGCCUGAGUAGUACGUACGCAAGUAUGAAACUUAAAGGAAUUGACGGGACUCCGCACAAGCGGUGGAUCAUGUUGUUUAAUUCGAAGAUACCCGAAAAACCUUACCAGGUCUUGACAUGUUUUUGCAAAACGAUAGUAAUAUCGUGGAGGUUACCGGAAACACAGGUGGUGCAUGGUUGUCGUCAGCUCGUGUCGUGAGAUGUUAGGUUAAGUCCUAAAACGAGCGAAACCCUUAUCGUUAGUUGCCAGCACGUUAUGGUGGGGACUUUAACGAGACUGCCAAUGAUAAAUUGGAGGAAGGUGAGGAUCACGUCAAAUCAGCAUGCCCCUUAUGACCUGGGCUACAAACGUGAUACAAUGGCUGUUACAAAGAGUAGCUGAA
rnacentral:rRNA from 1 species